CCCUUAGAUGUCCUGGGCCGCACGCGCGCUACACUGAUGCAUGCAACGAGUUUAUAACCUUGGCCUGAAAGGUCUGGGUAAUCUUUUGAACGUGCAUCGUGAUAGGGAUAGAUUAUUGCAAUUGUUAAUCUUGAACGAGGAAUUCCUAGUAAACGCGAGUCAUCAGCUCGCAUUGAUUACGUCCCUGCCCUUUGUACACACCGCCCGUCGCACCUACCGAUUGAAUGGUUCGGUGAAGAUCUCGGACUUCGAUAUUUAUUCUUUAUUGAGUUUAUAUUGUGGGAAGGUAUCUAAACCUCAUCAUUUAGAGGAAGGUGAAGUCGUAACA
rnacentral:rRNA from 1 species